GACGAACGCUGGCGGCGUGCUUAACACAUGCAAGUCGAACGCUGAAGCUCAGCUUUUGUUGGGUGGAUGAGUGGCGAACGGGUGAGUAACACGUGAGUAACCUGCCCCCUUCUUUGGGAUAACGCCCGGAAACGGGUGCUAAUACUGGAUAUUCACUGGUCUUCGCAUGGGGGUUGGUGGAAAGGGUUUUUCUGGUGGGGGAUGGGCUCGCGGCCUAUCAGCUUGUUGGUGGGGUGAUGGCCUACCAAGGCUUUGACGGGUAGCCGGCCUGAGAGGGUGACCGGUAACAUUGGGACUGAGAUACGGCCCAGACUCCUACGGGGGGCAGCAGUGGGGAAUAUUGCACAAUGGGCGCAAGCCUGAUGCAGCGACGCCGCGUGAGGGAUGGAGGCCUUCGGGUUGUGAACCUCUUUCGCUCAUGGUCAAGCCGCAACAAUGGUUGUGGUGAGGGUAGUGGGUAAAGAAGCGCCGGCUAACUACGUG
rnacentral:rRNA from 1 species